UUCGCGAUAGCUCAGUUGGUAGAGCGGAGGACUGUAGAUCCUUAGGUCGGUGGUUCGAAUCCGUCUCGCGAGA
rnacentral:tRNA from 1 species